AAUCUCGUCCCGAACGUGUCCUAAACCGUCAGAUGAGCCGCACUGAUCUUGAUGCAGAGCACAAUGCCACGUCAUUUUGUUUGAGCGUUCGGGACGACCGACCAGACCACCGAACGCAUCGGCUUAUCCACUCGCCCACCCCAGCCAACGCUCACUUUUUCCCCUUUCUUCACAUCACAAGCGGGGGAGACGAGCUCCUGUGGGGUGGCUGCCCUGCAAGUGUCACCGGAGACCGCGGCGGGAGGAGCUCGCGCGGUGGACGCCUCGGCGGCGCGGGGAGGAGCUCGCGCGGUGGAGGCCUCGGUGGUGUGCGGAUGAGGUCGUGCCCGCGGCGGAGGAGCUCGAGACCGCGGCGGGAGGAGCUCGCGCGGUGGACGCCCCCGGUGGAGGAGUUCUUGCGUGGCCGCGGCCGGGAGGAUCUUGUACGGUGGAUGCCCCAGCGGCGCGGGGAGGAGCUCGUGUGUGGCCUCGGCGGGGCGGAGAAGCACGACAGGUCCCUGGCGGCGGGUUGAAUCCCUCCGCGUGCUCCUCACUGGCGUGAGCCCAUGCCGCCGCGAUUUCUGGUCCGCGCGACCGGCUGGAGGUGCGGCCGUGGGCGGGGGCCGAGUGCGGCCUGCUCGCUUGCGCCGUCGCGGCGGGCCUCGAGGCCGUCCCCCUCCGUGAGACCUUCGCCGACGCUGACCAUCCGGCCUCCGACCCGCUCCAGGGUACCCCUUCCUCCGCAAGCUCGUCCCUGAACCGGUCAAGGUGCCGCCAUCGGCAGACGCCGAGCGCGCCUGCUCGCCCACGCCGACGCGGCCGGCGUCGGGUCUGCCUCUAUUCGCGUGGUCCUCGCCGCUGUGGCCAGCACCAGGCGCAGUGCUCGAGUGUGAACGAAGCCAGUGACGAGGACGUGACCGAGGUGCUGCUCGCGGCGGCGAGCAGCACCAGGCGCGAGCUCCGGGGGUGAACUACAAGGCCUUCAGCCGCGCCAUCGAGCCACACAACUUCAUUUACAUGCAGUUCAUCAACCUUCAAAAUUGCCAUGUCUUUGUCCGAGACACAUCACAAAUUCGUAAUUACACUCUCACUUUUAUUUCUUGAGUAACUGUACUAGUAAACGCAUGGCGAUUGAAAAGUAUAUUUGCCAUGGCAACCAAAAUCAUGUGAACUUUUGUUAAGUUUUAUAGAUGAUGUUGCCAUGGCAACUAAAGCAUAUGUUUGCCAUGACGGCAACCUAUUCAUCGUGUGUUUUUUCAUAUGUAUUCGAAUAGUUUUUCCAUGGUUAAGUUUUAUAAGUUCUAUAGUUUAUGGGUCAUGCAAUUUUUUUGUAUACGGAUACAUAUAAUGGCACCUUUUUCUUACACAAAGCAUGACAAGUAUAAUGAGAACAACAUGGCAAUA